AAGCAACGCGAAGAACCUUACCAGGUCUUGACAUCCCGAUGCUAUUUCUAGAGAUAGAAAGUUACUUCGGUACAUCGGUGACAGGUGGUGCAUGGUUGUCGUCAGCUCGUGUCGUGAGAUGUUGGGUUAAGUCCCGCAACGAGCGCAACCCCUAUUGUUAGUUGCCAUCAUUCAGUUGGGCACUCUAGCGAGACUGCCGGUAAUAAACCGGAGGAAGGUGGGGAUGACGUCAAAUCAUCAUGCCCCUUAUGACCUGGGCUACACACGUGCUACAAUGGUUGGUACAACGAGUUGCGAGUCGGUGACGGCGAGCUAAUCUCUUAAAGCCAAUCUCAGUUCGGAUUGUAGGCUGCAACUCGCCUACAUGAAGUCGGAAUCGCUAGUAAUCGCGGAUCAGCACGCCGCGGUCGAAUACGUUCCCGGGCCUU
rnacentral:rRNA from 1 species